GGGAUAUUGCACAAUGGGCGGAAGCCUGAUGCAGCGACGCCGCGUGAAGGAAAAAGUAUUUCGGUAUGUAAACUUCUAUCAGCGGGGAAGAAGAUGACGGUACCCGACUAAGAAGCCCCGGCUAACUACGUGCCAGCAGCCGCGGUAAUACGUAGGGGGCAAGCGUUAUCCGGAUUUACUGGGUGUAAAGGGAGCGUAGACGGCAGGGCAAGUCCGAUGUGAAAACCCGGGGCUCAACCGCGGGAUUGCAUUGGAAACUGCUCGGCUCGAGUACUGGAGGGGUAAGCGGAAUUCCUAGUGUAGCGGUGAAAUGCGUAGAUAUUAGGAGGAACACCGGCGGCGAAGGCGGCUUACUGGACAGUAACUGACGUUGAGGCUCGAAAGCGUGGGGAGCAAACA
rnacentral:rRNA from 1 species